GACGAACGCUGGCGGCGUGCUUAACACAUGCAAGUCGAACGAAGUGGCGAACGGGUGAGUAACGCGUAAUCAACCUGCCCUUCAGCGGGGGAAAACAGUUGGAAACGACUGCUAAUCCCGCAUACUGAAGGAGGGGAUUGCGUCGUCAUAGCUAGUUGGGGGGGUAACGGCCCACCAAGGCGAUGAUCAGUAGCCGGGUUGAGAGGAUGAACGGCCACAUUGGGACUGAGACACGGCCCAGACUCCUACGGGAGGCAGCAGUGGGGAAUCUUCCGCAAUGGACGAAAGUCUGACGGAGCAACGCCGCGGGAGUGAUGACGGCCUUCGGGUUGUAAAGCUCUGUUAAUCGGGACGCGGUACCGGAAUAGAAAGCCACGGCUAACUACGUGCCAGCAGCCGCGGUAAUAC
rnacentral:rRNA from 1 species